rnacentral:rRNA from 1 species
CCUACGGGCGGCAGCAGUGGGGGAUAUUGGACAAUGGGGGGAACCCUGAUCCAGCGAAGCCGCGUGAGGGAAGAAGUAUCUCGGUAUGUAAAGCUCCGUCUGCAGGGAAGAAAGCAAUGACGGUACCUGACCAAGAAGCCCCGGCUAACUACGUGCCAGCAGCCGCGGUAAGACGUAGGGGGCGAGCGUUAUCCGGAAUUACUGGGUGUAAAGGGAGCGUAGACGGCUGUGUAAGUCUGGAGUGAAAGGCUGGGGCUCAACCCCCGGACUGCGCUUGAAACUGUAUGGCUGGAGUGCAGGAGAGGUAAGCGGAAUUCCUAGUGUAGCGGUGAAAUGCGUAGAUAUUAGGAGGAACACCAGUGGCGAAGGCGGCUGACUGGACUGUAACUGACGUUGAGGCUCGAAAGCGUGGGGAGCAAACAGGAUUAGAUACCCCAGUAGUC